CAAGUAGAUAAAUUUUACUUGGCCCUCUUUCUUCUCCCUCGGAUUGUAUAAUUAUAUGAGUCAUUACCAGGUAUUUUAUAGGAUAGGUGAUAAUUCUGUAUAGUAUGUAUUAAAAAUGAACCAUGGCUUUGAGACAUUAGACUAAAUAUGAGAGGUUGGCCUUUCCAUUCUUACUGUAUUUAAAGUUAAGUGUCUGAGACUUCUUACUCCUGCGUCAGAGCUCGUUUGAAGUGUUCACUGCUGCACUACUAGGAGGUCACCUUACCAUAUGCAGCGCAUUUUUGUUUUGCUCAAUAUGGUCUCAUUGAUUGAGUUAGGUGUCUUGUAUCUUACGGAUUCUAUCAACAAAGAGUACGUAUCACAGAAUUCAGGGCAAACAUAACAAAAAUAGAAGAAAUGAAAUGAAUAUACCAUGUAGGAGAAAUUGUAAUUCUUUACAUUUGCUUGAGAAAUACCACAGAUCCACAUUUUAGUGAAUUAAAUGUUGACCAAGAAAGUAGAGGCGGACUCUUCACAAAUGUGCAGUGGCUCUGCUGUGUCUCUCGCCUCUGAUAUGGAGGUGGGAAAAGCCCUUAGCUCCCACCCAACUCUCACACAUACCAUGGACGGUUAGAAAACAGGGUUCCUUCCAACUGUGGCACUGUCACCACAGCCAGGAGCGGAGCACGUGGAUGGGCUAGCCUGGGAACCUGAUCUUCCCUUCUGUGUCCUUCUGUUUCUGACAUGAGUCUCCAAUGUCAGUGUUUACUCAAUGUUUCUUAGUCCUACUUCCAAAUUGAUUUUUUGGGGUCGUUAAAUAUUUGGGUUUCCAACUGCAGAAAACUAUUGCAUAAAAAAUUAUGGAAAGAAAGUGGCUAUAUUUGAAAGGUUAUUUGUAAAUACCCAUUUUAAUAAAUGAAGUAACGAAAAAGUUAAUUGGCAAAUUUUGCCCCAAGAAAAUCUGUAUUUAAAAACGGAUGGGACAGUGUAUAAUGAUGUAGAAUUUGUAACCCACUCGGAGCUGAAGACAAAUUUGGUGUCUCUGUACCUUGUCCCAUCACUGCUUGGCUUUGGCCAUCGUUUGUACCCUCACUUUGAUUCUGCUC
rnacentral:lncRNA from 1 species